rnacentral:rRNA from 1 species
UGCCAGCCGCCGCGGUAAUACGGAGGGGGCUAGCGUUGCUCGGAAUUACUGGGCGUAAAGCGCGCGUAGGCGGCUGUACAAGUCAGGGGUGAAAGCUACAGGCUCAACCUGUAAAUUGCCUCUGAGACUGUAUGGCUUGAGUUCUGCAGGGGAAAGUGGAAUUCAUGGUGUAGCGGUGAAAUGCGUAGAUAUCAUGGAGAACACCUAUGGCGAAGGCAGCUUUCUGGGCAGAAACUGACGCUGAGGCGCGAAAGCUAGGGUAGCGAACAGGAUUAGAUA